AACGGGGGGGAGCAAGUGUUAUUCAUAAUCAUUGGGCGUAAAGCGCAUGUAGGCGGUUUAUUAAGUUCAAAUAAAAAAUGUCAAAGCUUAACUUUGAAAAUGGUUUGAAAACUGAUAGACUAGAGUCUCAUAGAGGAUAGUGGAAUUUCUUGUGGAGAGAUCAAAAUUCAUAGAUACUAGAAGGAAGACCAAUGGCCGAGGCAACUAUCUAGGUGGUGACUGACGCUAAUGUGCUAAAGCGUGGGGAGCAAACAGG
rnacentral:rRNA from 1 species